AUGCCGGGCCUUUAUAGGUCUGGCAAUUGGAAUGAGAACAAUUUAAAUCCCUUAUCGAGGAUCAAUUGGAGGGCAAGUCUGGUGCCAGCAGCCGCGGUAAUUCCAGCUCCAAUAGCGUAUAUUAAAGUUGUUGCAGUUAAAAAGCUCGUAGUUGGAUUUGUGGCAUACGGUGGGUUCCGGGCACUUGUUGUCUGAGUAAUUUGCUGUAGCCAUCCUUGGGUGGAACCAGUGUGGCAUUAGGUUGUCGUGCUGGGGAUGCCCAUCAUUUACUGUGAAAAAAUUAGAGUGUUCAAAGCAGGCUUAUGCCGUUGAAUAUAUUAGCAUGGAAUAAUGAGAUAGGACUUCUUUGCUAUUUUGUUGGUUUGCGCAAAGAGGUAAUGAUUAAUAGGGACAGUUGGGGGUAUUCGUAUUCCAUUGUCAGAGGUGAAAUUCUUGGAUUUCUGGAAGACGAACUACUGCGAAAGCAUUUACCAAGGACGUUUUCAUUAAUCAAGAACGAAAGUUAGGGGAUCGAAGAUGAUUAGAUACCAUCGUAGUCUUAACCAUAAACUAUGCCGACAAGGGAUUGGUGGAGUCUCGUUAUGUCUCCAUCAGCACCUUAUGAGAAAUCACAAGUCUUUGGGUUCCGGGGGGAGUAUGGUCGCAAGGCUGAAACUUAAAGAAAUUGACGGAAGGGCACCACCAGGAGUGGAGCCUGCGGCUUAAUUUGACCCAACACGGGAAAACUUACCAGGUCCAGACAUAGUGAGGAUUGACAGGUUGAGAGCUCUUUCUUGAUUCUAUGGGUGGUGGUGCAUGGCCGUUCGUAGUUGGUGGAGUGAUUUGUCUGGUUAAUUCCGUUAACGAACGAGACCACUGCCUGCUAAAUAGCCCAGUGAGUGAAUCUUCACUGACUGCUGGCUUCUUAGAGGGACGUGCAUUCUAUCAGAUGCAGGAGGAUAGUGGCUAUAACAGGUCUGUGAUGCCCUUAGAUGUCCUGGGCCGCACGCGCGCUACACUGAUGCAUUCAACGAGUUUUACCUUGGCCGAGAGGCCUGGGCAAUCUUUUAAACGUGCAUCGUGAUAGGGAUAGAUUAUUGCAAUUAUUAAUCUUGAACGAGGAAUUCCUAGUAAACGCAAAUCAUCAAUUUGCAUUGAUUACGUCCCUGCCCUUUGUACACACCGCCCGUCGCACCUACCGAUUGAAUGGUCCGGUGAAGCCUCGGGAUUGUGGCUAGUUCACUUUAUUGGGAGUUGGCUGCGAGAACUUGUCUAAACCUUAUCAUUUAGAGGAAGGUGAAGUC
rnacentral:rRNA from 1 species